CGAACGGGUGAGUAACGCGUGAGGAACCUGCCUCAAAGAGGGGGACAACAGUUGGAAACGACUGCUAAUACCGCAUAAGCCCACGGCUCGGCAUCGAGCAGAGGGAAAAGGAGUGAUCCACUUUGAGAUGGCCUCGCGUCCGAUUAGCUAGUUGGUGAGGUAACGGCCCACCAAGGCGACGAUCGGUAGCCGGACUGAGAGGUUGACCGGCCACAUUGGGACUGAGAUACGGCCCAG
rnacentral:rRNA from 1 species